UAAAGCUCUUCUCCAUCUUGCUAAGCCUCCAUUUGUCCGCAAUACCUCAUCUCCCUGGACGCAGGACAAGAACUCAGGACCCGCCUGGAGGUGCCCACAGCAGAAUCCACAUGCCGUCCAUCUGGUCCAGCCUCACGCAGAGCCACAACUGUGCUGGCGCCUGGAGCUGCCAGCCCCACUGCAGCAGCCGGACUGACAUUCAGACGUGGAGCAAGUUGGACUGCAUAGGGACCCACCAGUGAGAUGGACGCUGUCUGUAAACGACUUUCACUGAAUGUGCUAAGAAGAGAAACCCCUCUGCAGACACACACAGACGUUCUGCAGUUUCCCAAUCUCUGGUGCAGUUCUGGCCUUUUGGGGCUUUAAGGGCUUUGGCUAAGGUAAGAAGAAUCUGUCAUUUCUUCCCAAGGCUCAGAAUGGGCAAUUAUAAUUGUUCUUGACAAGUUUAAACAGGCCAAAGGAGCUUUUCUCAGAUUUGGGGAAUUCCUAAAUGAUUUUUUAAUACAAAUCUUUUUUUUUUAAUGAUAGAACAUUAUACUCACAGUUCUUGUUUUUUAGGGCUCUGUUUGCAUUGGGUAUUUUUCCUAUUUUGAAUAUCCAAAGCUGGAAAGUUUGAGGUUUGUUUUCUGCCAGGGCACUCUGAGUAGAACUUGAAAGUUUGGCUUGAGAGACCUAACAUAGCUUUGAUAGUGUUCACCCAGUUAUUCUAUAAACGAAUAUUUCAAAAAGAGGAUUUCGAGAUCCCUCAAAUGUCGAGUCACCAGAUAAAAUACAUGAUGCCCAGUACGAUUUGAAUUACAGAUAAACAACAAAUAAUUUUUAGUAUUAAUGUAAGUAUGACUCAUGUCAAUUGGGAUAUACUUAUGCUAGAAAAUUGUUGUUUAUCUAUAUUUUUUAUUUGCUAAAUUCUGCAAACUUAUCCAAGUGUUUAUAAUUAACUACGCUGGUGAAAACACCAAAUAAUGAAUGUGUCCUAAUAUUUCCUGAGGACUAUAUUAAUAUAAUUUCAUGUAAUCUUUCUAACAAUACUAUGAUACACACAUAAUCAAUUCUAUGUAACAGAAAAGAGAAUUGAGCUUCAGGGAGUUUUAAAAUUUGGCCCAAAUCACACUAUUGGUGAGUGGCAGAUCUGUGAGUUAAAGACAGGUCAUCUGAUUGCAAAACCCACCUUCAUUCCAACUCGCCUAAGGUGUUUAAAAUGUGUUAGGAACACUGAGCAGCCCUUGCUUCCCCAUGAAGCAAGCAAAUACCUAGAAAGCUGACCUGAAGUGCCUGGGGCCCACAUUUCAGGUUCACAGUGUAAUUAUAGUGCUUGGCAUUCAGUGCAGACACACACAUCAUCAUUCUAAUUAAGCAACUGUCUUAAUUAUCAGGUUCUCCAGGGAGGCUGCUCUGCCAAGUCUGGUAUUUCAUGAAUAGAUCUGAAAACAGACAUUAUCUCUUCUCCCAGUGAAGAGAGAGCGAUGAAGCCUCAGGACAAAAGGAGGCAGUGGGAUGAUGCCACCAAGGGACCAUUCUGAAGAGCCAUCAGCAAAAAGCAGCCACACCUGCUUAUGUGGCUCUGGGACAAAUGAUCUGAGCCGUGACGUGGAACUUAGAUGCAGUAAAGUCCAUUGUAUUGAGCCUUCUCUGGCACUCCUCCCAAAACAGAGAGACAACAGUUCUGUUAUGUUUUGUUUGGUUUGGUCUCCCUCAACUCAUCAAUGAGCCUUUUUAAAAAGAAUAAUUCGGUACUUUCUUUAAAGGUGGUAGAAUUGGCUCUUACUCUAGUCUGUUUUCUCCUUCCUAAGGGAGGAGCAUCCUUCUUGUUAACACAGAACCCCAAACUAUCUGAUCAGAAAGAAAAUAAUUCAAUCUGCUGUUUGAAUUGACUUCCAGCAGCGUCUUAAAUUUUAAUUGGCCCCCGGCCUAAAACAACCUCAAACUGUAUGUCUUCCAUACUCCUCUCACCACCACCAUCACCACUGCCCCUACAACCACUCUAAGCAUAGUACAUAUGGUGAACAUACCAUGAUAUUGAAUGCUAUUCUCACUCUGCCUUCUCUUAAUCUGAUCUUACUCAGGUUCUGACAGUUGACGCUGAAAACAUUUUUUGUUGUUGUUGUGGUUGAGACAGAGUUUCGCACUUGUUGCCCAGGCUGGAGUACAGUGGUGCGAUCUCGGCUCACUGCAACCUCCGCCUCCCGGGUUCAAGUGAUUCUCCUGCCUCAGCUCCCCAAGUAGCUGGGAUUACAGGCAUGUGCCACCAUGCCUGACUAAGUUUGUAUUUUUAGUAGAGACGGGGUUUCUCCAUGUUGGUCAGGCUGAUCUCGAACUCCCGACCUCAGGUGAUCCGCCUGCCUCGGCCUCCCAAAGUGCUGGGAUUACUGGUGUGAGCCACCAUGCCCGGCCAUGACACUGAAAACAUUUUAAAGGAGAAACAGAUUACCAAUUAUCCAUAAAGAUGAGAAUUAUCUGGCAACAUUUUGGUUAGAUGAAAACUGUGACUAGAGAGCUAACAAAAACAAACACAAUGAGCACUAGAUAUCUGCCAGGCAUUGUUCACAGCCCCUUUUUUGGUCUCAUCUGAUCCUUGCUGUAGAUCAGGAAUCAACAAACUAAGCUUUCACCACUUGUCAGGGGUAAAGCCAUGUCAGUCUGAGUCCCAAUGCCACACUGUUAGCCACUCUCCCACACCACCUGCUCCAACUAUUUGAAGAAGGAGAAUGUUUUUCCAGUUAAUAAAGUUAAUAGU
rnacentral:lncRNA from 1 species